CUGUAAUGAUAUGUGGGAAUGACCUUGGAAGAAGGGAUGAAGAGAUGCUGCCUAGAACAUGGUCAGAUAAGAGUGAGCAUAACCUGCAACUGCAUGGUGUGUAGAACAAAAGGCUCCGAAGAGACCACCCCAAAUUAAAAUGUAUCAAAUGGCUGUCAUGCAAUAUAACUAAGGAUCAUGCAGACAUUGCAACCAGCUGCUUUUUCAAAUGCCUGGGCAGAAAAGAAGAGGCUUGUUGAAUGACUGCUUGCUAAGGAGUGUUUGGAGCUAAGACUGUGUUGUUGCAAUAUCAAUUUGUUCUUGCAAUCAAAUUUCUGCACUUGACAAUCACAUGCACUGGAGUGAGAAUAAUGCUGCACGAAAGAAUUUUAUCCAAAUAGGAUGGCAGCAACCAGUGAUCUUUGCAGCAUAUCUCUUUUUCCCGAAUCAUUUUGCUUCUGAUUUAAGGAAUGGAUUGCGGUCACGAAACAUGGAGGAAAGUGUACUAUUUGAUAGGGAUUUGGAGUCCUCCAAAAAGUAAUGAUUUCUAUAGCUACUCAGAGCUUUCAUCUUUGUUUAUUAUGAGUUUAUUAAAUAUUAAUGAUAGAUGUUUGCCACUGUAAAGUCCUUUUGAUUUAAAUGAAGGGUACAGGUUUUGAUGACUUCUUUGGAAAAACUUUUUUUUGUGUAAAAUUACUAUAUGGCAUGUGUGUCCAUGACUGUGUCACCCUCAAAGUUGUGUUUCUGCUAUAUCAUUUCCUGUAAUGAUGAUACUGAAUUGAAUAAUUGGGAGUGUACAUUCAGUUUCACUUUUUCCAUAUCAAUCCUGCUGCAACAAAUUCAAUUUGGCUUGGCUUCUCCAAAGAUUAUAUUUUAAGAAUUGAAGAAGAAAAUGAGCUAAUCAAAAUCAGCUAAUGCAGGGGUUCUCAACCCCUGGGCCAUGGCCCUCUAUCGGGCCAUGGCUGAUUUGGAACUGGGCUGUGCGAGAGGCGGGCAGGCGCAUGGAUAACUUCACUUGCGUGAGCAGCAGGCCAAACGCAUAUGCACAUGUGCACACAGCUCAACCUGCAGUCGAGCUGUGUGCGCAUACAUGCCAGCCUGCUGCUCAGUUCCCCUCUCCCCUGCGGGCGCUGCCAAACCGCAAAAGUUGGACAAGUGCCUAAUGAACAAGUGCCUAAGAUGUAAUUUCCCAUUAACCACAAUGCUUUUAUAAAGAAAACAAAUAAUUCCAUAGUUAAUGAGAUAUAGUUCAAAAUGAGAAUCACUUAAAUUACAAUAAUGUUUGCAGAAGUUUUAUUUUGUUCCUGAGCAAUUUUAUGCUUUGCCCACAAGCAUUAA